UACAGGGGGGGCAAGCGUUGUUCGGAAUUACUGGGCGUAAAGGGUCUGUAGGUGGCCAACUAAGUCAGACGUGAAAUCCCUCAGCUUAACUGGGGAACUGCGUCUGAUACUGGAUGGCUUGAGUGUGGGAGAGGAAUGCGGAAUUCCAGGUGUAGCGGUGAAAUGCGUAGAUAUCUGGAGGAACACCGGUGGCGAAGGCGGCAUCCUGGACUGCAACUGACACUGAUGAACGAAAGCCAGGGAGCAAACGGG
rnacentral:rRNA from 1 species